rnacentral:rRNA from 1 species
AGUGAACGCUGGCGGUAGGCCUAACACAUGCAAGUCGAACGGCAGCACAGUAAGAGCUUGCUCUUACGGGUGGCGAGUGGCGGACGGGUGAGGAAUACAUCGGAAUCUACUUUUUCGUGGGGGAUAACGUAGGGAAACUUACGCUAAUACCGCAUACGACCUACGGGUGAAAGCAGGGGAUCUUCGGACCUUGCGCGAUUGAAUGAGCCGAUGUCGGAUUAGCUAGCUGGCGGGGUAAAGGCCCACCAAGGCGACGAUCCGUAGCUGGUCUGAGAGGAUGAUCAGCCACACUGGAACUGAGACACGGUCCAGACUCCUACGGGAGGCAGCAGUGGGGAAUAUUGGACAAUGGGCGCAAGCCUGAUCCAGCCAUACUGCGUGGGUGAAGAAGGCCUUCGGGUUGUAAAGCCCUUUUGUUGGGAAAGAAAAGCAGCAGGUUAAUACCCCGCUGUUCUGACGGUACCCAAAGAAUAAGCACCGGCUAACUUCGUG